CCUACGGGGGGCAGCAGUGGGGAAUAUUGGACAAUGGGGGCAACCCUGAUCCAGCCAUGCCGCGUGUGUGAAGAAGGCCCUCGGGUUGUAAAGCACUUUCAGUGAGGAAGAACGCCUGGUGGUUAAUACCCAUCAGGAAAGACAUCACUCACAGAAGAAGCACCGGCUAACUCCGUGCCAGCAGCCGCGGUAAUACGGAGGGUGCGAGCGUUAAUCGGAAUUACUGGGCGUAAAGCGCGCGUAGGUGGCUUGAUAAGCCGGUUGUGAAAGCCCCGGGCUCAGCCUGGGAACGGCAUCCGGAACUGUCAAGCUAGAGUGCAGGAGAGGAAGGUAGAAUUCCCGGUGUAGCGGUGAAAUGCGUAGAGAUCGGGAGGAAUACCAGUGGCGAAGGCGGCCUUCUGGACUGACACUGACACUGAGGUGCGAAAGCGUGGGUAGCAAACAGGAUUAGAUACCCCAGUAGUC
rnacentral:rRNA from 1 species